rnacentral:lncRNA from 1 species
CCUGUAUGCUGGUUUCCCAGCAUCCUUGUCCGUACCAACAAUUUAAUGCGGUAAGCUUGCUCUCAGUCUUUUCCUUUUUGCAUUUUGCGUUGCAAUGUGACAUAGGUGUUUGUUUCAUGCUACUCCCUCCUUCCAUCUAUAUAAGGCCUAACCCAAAUUUUAUUUUUCCAUCUAUACAAGGUCAAACGAGCUAACCGAUGCGUCUCCCAGUUAAUUCCCCCUCGCAGGUUGCGCGCGGUCAUCCCUGUGAAAACGCGAUGGCCGGCAGUAUUUAUUUGCAUGCAUGCAGAAAAAGGGGAAGUAGCAGGAGCGAGCUCUUUUUUGGCCAAUGCAUGAAGGCGUGGAGGAGUUAUUUUUGAGCUACAUGCAGAAAAAGGGGGAGAGGAAGUUGCAUGGAGGGAUUAAUAGAGAGGGAGGAGAGCGGGUUGCACGGCAUCCAAAAAAAAUUUGCUUGCGAUUUGGUUGGCCAAGUACUAUUUCCAAUAUUUGCUCCUCUUUUUGUGCAACAACCUUGGUAUGAGAGAUUCAAAACUUAGGCCCUGUAUAAAUGGAAGGAGGGAGUACUAUGCUUUGUGAUUCUUUUUACUUGAGCUUACAGUCCUUAAUGCUGCUGCAACCAAGAUAUAUUCUGCCCAUUAUAAUCCUUAUAAGCACUUAGACUUAUUGAUCAUUUGAUGAUAUUCUAGUUGCUAAUCUUAGAAAAAAAAAGAAGUAUUUGUUUCUUACCUUGCUUAAUUGAUGUCUCUAGUAUCAUACAGAUAAAACAAAGCAGCAGCAUAUUAUUGAUUGAAAUAUUCUUAUAAACUCACUUUGGAAAUGCUACUGCCUAUUUCCCCAUAAUAUAGAUUUAUUCCUUGUACAUUAAUAACUAUCUCCUAUAUUUCUGGUCAUUCACCUCGGCAUUCAUUUCUUACUUCCUUCAUGAUUGAUUGCAGAUUAGCAUCUUCAUACUGCAGUGCUCCUUUGUACAUAAAAAAAACUUACAGUUCUUCUUAAUUUAAGGUGAAUGCUCCCAACAAUUAGGCCCAGUAGUAUGUCGUCUCUUGAAGUGAAAUCACAUGGGUACUUGGUUAAAUUAUUUAAAAAGGUUUGUGCAAUUCUGCACAUUUCUGAACUGAAGCAUUUGAGCCAAACUGUACAUUCAACUUUUGACCAUAUAACUUCUACUAGUUACCGAAAAUUUAUAUGAUUGUAUUGUAUUGCAUCUAACAACAGCAGUUCAUCAUUCAUCUAUUUAGCAGGCUUUAAUCUACAUUAUGGGGUCUUAUUUUGUGUCAGACUGCUGGUUUGGAGUGCAAGGACGGCGACUAAACUUCACUUCUGUUUGUCCAG